GAUGAACGCUGGCGGCGUGCCUAAUACAUGCAAGUCGAGCGAACAGACGAGGAGCUUGCUCCUCUGACGUUAGCGGCGGACGGGUGAGUAACACGUGGAUAACCUACCUAUAAGACUGGGAUAACUUCGGGAAACCGGAGCUAAUACCGGAUAAUAUAUUGAACCGCAUGGUUCAAUAGUGAAAGACGGUUUUGCUGUCACUUAUAGAUGGAUCCGCGCCGCAUUAGCUAGUUGGUAAGGUAACGGCUUACCAAGGCAACGAUGCGUAGCCGACCUGAGAGGGUGAUCCGCCAAACUGGAACUGAGGCAACGUCCAGAAUUCUACGGGAGGCAGCAGUAGGGAAACUUCCGGAAUGGGCGGAAGCCUGAACGAGCCACGCCGCGUGAGUGAAGAAGGUCUUCGGAUCGUAAAACUCUGUUAUUAGGGAAGAACAAAUGUGUAAGUAACUAUGCACGUCUUGACGGUACCUAAUCAGAAAGCCACGGCUAACUACGUG
rnacentral:rRNA from 1 species